AUGCGGAGCGAGCCGGCCGCCGCCGCCGGCGGCGGCAUUGCGGCUGUUCCGUCCCCCGCUUUGCUCUGCUCCGACCUCAAGCCCUUCCUCGCCGCGCUCACCAUGCUCACGCUCCUCGCCGCCGCCUGGCAGCUCCGCCCCUACCACUCCCUGCUCGCCGUCCCGUUCUCCCUCUGCCCGGACCCGCCCCCCUCGCUGCCGCGCUCGCUCGCCGUCUCCGGCAAGGCGUCCAGCCCCAGCUCCAACGCCUCCUCGUCGCCGAAGCAGGGUCAGGAGCGGCCCAAGCCCGACCCGAACAGGCGGGAGUUCCGCGCGGUGGGCAGCGCGGCGGCGCUGUUCGUGCAGAUGGGCGCGUACCGCGGCGGGCCGUACACCUUCGCGGUCGUCGGGCUCGCGUCCAAGCCCGUCCACGUCUACGGCAAGCCCUGGUUCCGCUGCGAGUGGGUGCCCAACGCCGGCGCCGCCAACGCCUCCGCCUCGUCGGCGCGGCCGAUGCGCGCGGCCAACACGUACCACAUGCUCCCGGACUGGGGCUACGGCCGGGUGUACACCGUCGUGGUGGUGAACUGCACCUUCUCGGCGGCGCCCAACGCCGACAAUGCCGGGGGCAGGCUGGUGCUCAACGCCUACUACGGGCCGUCGCCGGCGCGGUACGAGCGGAUCGAGGCGCUGGAGGAGGCGCCGGGGGCCUACGACGAGGCGGCGUUCCGCCCCCCGCACAGGUACGACUACCUCUACUGCGGCUCGUCGCUGUACGGCGACCUCAGCGCGGCGCGCGUGCGGGAGUGGAUGGCCUACCACGCGCGCUUCUUCGGCGCGCGCUCGCACUUCGUGUUCCACGACGCCGGCGGCGUCAGCCCCGCGGUGCGCGCGGCGUUGGAGCCCUGGGUGCGCGCCGGCCGCGCCACGCUGCAGGACGUGCGCGCCCAGGCCGACUACGACGGCUGGUACCACAACCAGUUCCUCGUCGUCAACGACUGCCUCCACCGGUACCGGCACGCCGCCAGGUGGACCUUCUUCUUCGACGUCGACGAGUACAUCUUCCUGCCCGACGGCCGGACGCUCGAGGGCGUGCUCGCCGAGCUCGACCCGUACACGCAGUUCACCAUCGAGCAGAACCCCAUGUCGAGCAGGUUGUGCGCGCGGGGCACCAACGAUUCCGAGGCCGACUACUCCAAACAAUGGGGGUUUGAGAAGCUGGUGUUCCGGAAUUCGAUCACCGGGGUGAGGCGUGACAGGAAGUACGCGAUCCAGGCCAAGAACGCAUACGCCACGGGCGUGCACAUGUCCGAGAACGUUAUCGGCAAUACCACUCACAAGACGGAGCACCUCAUCCGGUACUACCACUACCACAACACCAUCAAUGUUCCCGGCGAGUUAUGCCGUGAGUUUGUGCCGGUGCCGCCGAAAGGUGGCUUGACGUGGUCCGAGAAGACGCCCUGGUACUACGACGACAGCAUGAAGCGCCUCACGAACGCGGUGCGGGAGUUCGAGAAGAAAACCAUUGGUAAUGUGCAUGUGUGA
rnacentral:rRNA from 1 species